rnacentral:rRNA from 1 species
GCGCAAGCCUGAUGCAGCGACGCCGCGUGGGGGAUGACGGCCUUCGGGUUGUAAACCUCUUUCACCAUCGACGAAGGUCCGGGUUCUCUCGAUUGACGGUAGGUGGAGAAGAAGCACCGGCCAACUACGUGCCAGCAGCCGCGGUAAUACGUAGGGUGCGAGCGUUGUCCGGAAUACUGGGCGUAAAGAGCUCGUAGGUGGUUUGUCGCGUUGUUCGUGAAAUCUCACGGCUUAACUGUGAGCGUGCGGGCGAUACGGGCAGACUAGAGUACUGCAGGGGAGACUGGAAUUCCUGGUGUAGCGGUGGAAUGCGCAGAUAUCAGGAGGAACACCGGUGGCGAAGGCGGGUCUCUGGGCAGUACUGACGCUGAGGAGCGAAGAGCGUGGGGAGCGAACAGGAUUAGAUACCCUGGUAGUCCACGCCGUAAACGGUGGUAACUAGGUGUGGGUUUCCUUCCUUGGGAUCCGUGCCGUAGCUAACGCAUUUAAGUACCCCGCCUGGGGAGUACGGCCGCAAGGCUAAACUCAAAGGAAUUGACGGGGGCCCGCACAAGCGGCGGAGCAUGUGGAUUAAUUCGAUGCAACGCGAAGAACCUUACCUGGGUUUGACAUGCACAGGACGCGUCUAGAGAUAGGCGUUCCCUUGUGGCCUGUGUGCAGGUGGUGCAUGGCUGUCGUCAGCUCGUGUCGUGAGAUGUUGGGUUAAGUCCGCAACGAGCGCAACCCUUGUCUCAUGUUGCCAGCACGUAAUGGUGGGACUCGUGAGACGACUGCCGGGGUCAACUCGGAGGAAGGUGGGGAUGACGUCAAGUCAUCAUGCCCCUUAUGUCCAGGGCUUCACACAUGCUACAAUGGCCGGUACAAGGGCUGCGAUGCCGCGAGGUUAAGCGAAUCCUUAAAAGCCGGUCUCAGUUCGGAUCGGGGUCUGCAACUCGACCCGUGAAGUCGGAGUCGCUAGUAAUCGCAGAUCAGCAACGCUGCGGUGAAUACGUUCCCGGC